rnacentral:sRNA from 1 species
UUGCCUGCGCAGAGCAAAAUCGGUUGUUGAUUAUAUCCACGAAAAUUCCUUCUACUAAAAUGAAUUUCAAGUCCCACCUACCCUGGAAGCAGAGAGAGAGAGAACAGAGAGAGUAAAGAGAAAGAGAAAAGAAAGAGAAGUUGAAAAAGAGAAAGAAAGCUAAGAAAGAAAGAGAAAAAAAACAAAAAUAAAUGGACAAGAAAGAAAAAGGGUGAAGGUCAACCCUGUGCUUAAUUCCAGAGACUUUCCUAGGAACAUCAUGUUGGGCAUGGAGGACUAAGGCCAGUGUGAAGAUAAGUUACCAAAUGUUUCUUAAAAAAAAAAAAAAGCCAAUAACUGAAGAAUAGUCAUAAACGACUUAGUUUUUUUGUUGUUGUUGUUGUUGUUUUGAGACAGAGUCUCCUUCUGUCGCCCAGGCGGGAGUACAGUGGCACGCACCGUACCUCCGCCUCCGGGGUUCAAGUGAUUCUCUUGCCCCAGCCUCCAGAGUAGCCACCACGCCCGGUCCAACUUAGUUUUUUAAUACUUUUUAAAAUUUGAAGACAGGGUCUCUGCCACCCAGGCUGAAAUACAGUGGCGCAAUCACAGCUCACUGCAACCUUGACUUCCUGGGGUCCUGGGCACCUCCGUCUCAGCCUCCUGAGUAGCUGUGAGUAAAGGCCUGUGCCUCUCCACUGUGCUAAUUUUCUAAUGUUUCUUGGUUUGUUUUUAAUAGAGAUGUAGUCUGGCUUUGUUGCCCAGGCCGGUCUCCAGCUUUUAGCCUCAAGCAGUCUUCCCAUCUGCUCCUCCCAAAGUGCUGGGAUUAUAGGCAUGAGUCACCUUGCAUGGG